CUGCACAAUGCCUCCCAGGCUUCUCUUAUAGUCUUGGUGAUGAUGAAAGCUCCAAUGCUUGUGCUUAAACAGUGCCAUUUAGGGUUGUAGUUCAGCUUUGGUCCUCUUUCAGAUUUUUGCCAAAUGGGUGUACAUAU